GUAUGAUCCUGGCCAAAAUCGAACCAACGCCCAGCCAAUCACGUGGCGCUCCUCCGGUCAUGUGACGCAGCCGGUUCACCUCACAAGACCGGGGUCAACCACGGCUACCAGCAUGAACGACGGCGCUUCAGACCUUUGUAGCGAGGACCCGAUGCCAGGUCCAGUGGACAGACUUCAGACGUCUCUGUGUGUCCCGUCCUGUCCGGUCCUGUCUCUGGUUGCCUGGUUACAGACGCUGCUGCACCCGCAUGUUUAAAAAUGUCUACACCUGAAACUCCACCACAUCUAAAGAAGCAAAAACGUUUGCAAAUGUACAGACUGGAGUGGGAAGAGUGGAACCUCUGGCAAUGGAUACAAGGCAAACUGUGUUUUCUGUUGCUCAUGGACUGGCUGAAGUAAGGCAGCAUCAGGAAACAAACAUGGAGGAAAUAUGAGAACAGAGAUGACCCAACCAGCAGGUUACAGUUUAUCAUCAUCUAAUCAUCUCCUGAAGUCGAUAUGGUCUCUCUCUAUCUCCCCACACAUCCACCAACCACUGGAACACAUCUCCAAAGUUCUGCUGGGCCAGCUCAGCUUCCCCUCAGAAGAAGUGCUGCCACCUGCCAGAUGAAGGAGCCUUUUGAGAGGCAGCUGGCAUCAUGAUUGGACUGUACUUUGGUCUGUUCCAAUCCAGCUUCAACUCCAGAGACGGCAGGCGGGACGAGUCAACGGAGGCCGGAUGGACGAAGGCAUGCAGCUGAGUACAAUCCAGAAAACAACAGAGGAGGAGUGCAUCGGCCCAGAGCCAGAAUAUACAGAGUAGCAUCGUAUGUCUCUUAGAAAACAUCAUAGUAUAGCCUUUGGUAUGAAAAAACACCAUCAUAUACAUCGUAUAUUGUACAAAUAACAAAGGAAAGAGACAUACGUUGUAGAAUUGUAGUAAUUGUGGACUGACUGAUUUACUGAUUAUCAGUAUUUAAUUUUUUACUGAUUUGCGGUAAUAAAUACAUUUAAAAAUGGCGCUGCUUUGGUUCUGAACCUUUAUCUACCUGUGGUCGCUCUGUCUUCUGGAGUGAUUUGAUUGGUUAUACAUCAUGAAUAAAACUCCUUAAACUUAACAUCUGCAAACAAAACAAAAACGUAUCAACAAAGUUUUCUGUUAGAGUUUGUGUUCUUCUAAGUUUAACUCCCAAGAUUUUAAAUACUUUCAUUUACUGCAAAUGAAUAUCUACUCUAAAUGUGUCACUAAUAAUCAUUAUCAGCC